rnacentral:rRNA from 1 species
GAUGAACGCUAGCGGCAGGCUUAAUACAUGCAAGUCGAGGGGCAACAGGGUAGCAAUACCUGCUGGCGACCGGCAAACGGGUGCGGAACACGUACAGAACCUUCCUUUAAGCGGGGGAGUAGCCCACUAGAAAUAGUGGAUUAAUACCCACUAGUAAUAUUAGUUGGCAUCAAUUAGUAUAUUUUAAAGUAAUUUAUUCACUUAAAGUAAUGGC